rnacentral:rRNA from 1 species
UACAGAGGGUGCGAGCGUUAAUCGGAAUUACUGGGCGUAAAGGGCGCGUAGGUGGUUUGUUAAGAUGGAUGUGAAAUCCCUGGGCUUAACCUAGGAACUGCAUCGAUGACUGACAGGCUAGAGUACUGUAGAGGGUAGUGGAAUUUCCGGUGUAGCGGUGAAAUGCGUAGAGAUCCGGAAGAACACCGGUGGCGAAGGCGGCCUGCUGGGCAGUUUUGCUGGACACUGAGGCGCGACAGCGUGGGGGAGCAAACAGG